ensembl:lncRNA
AGAAGCUUAGUUUUCCAUAACUGCUAGUUUGCAAAUGGGCUUUGGUUUGGGCCCAUUUCCUUAGCACAGACGUGGCCCUGUGUAUAUGAUUCUGGCAGACUGCUGCUCUGCAGUAUGCUUUGGUUUCCAUCAGACCUUGGGAAGUUCUUCUGAGCACCUGUGAAGUUCAGUCCUGUCUACGCCGAGCAGGACUGCAGACACAGCUCUGCUGGGUCCUUCCCUCCAAGUGCUUGGGUGAGACACAGGCUGAGCUCUUGCAGACUGAGUUUAUAACAUCUGGUGUAGCUCUGCAUUGUGGACACCUCGCUGGAGCCUCCAGGGUCAGCUGAUGGACUGAGAAACCCCGUGAAGCACAGUGUCUUCUGGAACCACGGGGAAUGGCAUGGUACAGGGUAAGGAGCUCUCUACAAUCAGCAAAGCAUCCACUUCACCGAGUUUAAGCUAAAGCCUUGGAAGGGCUAUAGAAUGGGAUUAGAAUGGCAGAUUGGAAAUAUGGUGCAUUUCUACCUGAUGCUUCACUAAUGGAAAGUAUGAAAAUUGCACUUCUCUGCAGAAGUAAAUACACAUGGGUUUUGGGAAGAGAAUCAAGAUCUCUCACACAUUAGGCAACUGCCAUAACUGCUAAUCUUAUCCUUAAAAGCUUAGAGGAGAGAUGUUUCAGAACCAGAAGCUGAAGAUGUCUACUGAAGUUUGGCUUCCAACUUUCUGCUGAAAUUCAGGUAACUAUUGUUGGUACCCUUGACAAUUUUGCACCAGUCCACCAGAAUUAUUUGAAGUCACUCCAGAGCAAUGCCAUUCUCUUUCUGCUCCAAUGCAAGGGAGACGUUUUAUAAGAAAUGCCCUAUUGACUUGAAGCAAGACAGAAAUGCAGACAGCAAUGUGUAUCAUUCCAGCCUUCUGCUCUCCAGAAAAGAUAGUGCUUGUGAGAUUUCUGGUUGGCCCCUACUGAAGGUUGUUCACAUGUGUUCUGAAGGCAGCACAGUACAGGACAGAGAAAUAGUGACCACUCGUGUUAUUCCAAAGCAUUAUCUCCCUGGUCUGUAAUCAAGCAGAUCAUUAUGGUUUACAGAUGGAAGGGGAAGGCAGACAGUAGAUUGGGAAGCUGUGGAAGAGGAAAUGCAUUAAGUUCAAUUCAGCAGAGCAAGCACUUAGAGAAGCAAAAGGAACAAAUCACAGCCUCAGAAACCUUGGUGGAACUGAACAUAUAAAAGAUGAUAAUUACUGAGGACUUUUCAGAGAACUCACAAGAAUCCGUCCAGAAGGCUCACUCUGUACCAAAACAAGUGUCAAAAUAGAUAAGUGAAACUUCAUGGUCAGGAAAACCCCAUUCACUGGGAAGGUCAGUGUCACAAGAGUAUUUUUCCCUAUGGAGAAUUUGCUCUUCAAAAAUAUGAUGAGAUAAAACAUUACUGGUACCAUGUUAUAUUACUUUUGCUGAAAUGGGAACUGCGUGGGUGGCUGACAAACUUGAGGGAGUGAACAUGCAUCUGACUAAUACUGUCUUUAUCUUAUCUUUUCUGUGGGCUAAAAAGCAGCAUUGGGAAACACUUAUGGAAUGGUCUUUUCCUCAUGGCUCUUUAACUUGAUUAUAUCCUUAUUUACUAUUUAUAUCCUUCAAGUUUUCCUUUAUUAUAUCAGAAUGCAAUGCAUGAUUCAAUGGAUUGAAGGUAAAUAAGCAGUAGUAAUAAUUAAUCAGAAGCCCAGUGAUUUUUCUUUAAAUAUUUAUGUUUGCAAGGCACUGAAUCAGGUUCUCAUCAAGGAGUAGAUUUUUAUAGCAUGAAUAAGAUAAAGUGAGUAACAUUUCUUCCUGUUAAUCUAAGUCCUUCUAAUGUAUUUAUCCUGAGUACAACAAAGCAAGUGCUGCACAUU